rnacentral:lncRNA from 1 species
AGAGGAAGGCACAAGGAAGAAAAGGGCACUUACCAGAACUUAAGCUCACACGCCAAUGAAGCAAGAUCCCCAUACGGGCCACCAGAAGAAAUGAUGCAGGCUCGCUGUGUCUCCCCUAAAUUGUGCUGAUAGUAAAAGGAUCAUGAUUUGAUGCAACAGCGGCAUCACAGACCACGGGCAAUGUGUUUAACAACCAGUGAGGUGGGAACACUGACCCAUCAGAAAGAGCAUCUCCAGAGUGUUGGAGCAGAUCUUGAAGCCCCCUGCUGUGCCAGAGUUCAUCUUGAUUGCUGGACGGUGAUGAUGAGCAGAGAAUUAUGAGG